AUACUGAGCCGGGGUUGGGACCUGAUUAGAAUGAGGGUUUUACAGAAAAGCAGAUUGAUUUUGUUUGGUUCAUUUAUUUUUUGGGUAGUUAGUAUGAUUUUGUUUGGUUCAUUUAUUUUUUGGGUAGUUAGUAUGAUAUUUUAUUUUUACCCAAAUUGUAAAUCAUUAUCCACCCGCAUUGUAGGUGGCAGAAUGCACAUUUAAUUGUUGCGAACGCCAUUAUACCAUAGAAGAAGAUCACCACACAAUGGGUUUUCAGGCUGAACUGAUGGGUGAUGUAUUUCGACGACAGUUGAGAAGUGAUGCGAUACCAUCGAUAUACUUUCCUUCACAACAAAAUGGAAGAUUCUCAAUUAGAAGUAACCUAACGUCAGCUAGCCUAGUUGGACUAGCUGGGUGGUAUAGAAUCUUACACCAUGAUUCGCGUCCAACCCCCAGCUCAGCACAAGGUGAAGGAGAUGUGCAGUACCAGGAAAUAUUCUUCAAGAGGACCAAACAGUUGGUGGUUAAGAAGCCCUACACCACUUUCGGUAGAGCCUUAUCCAGUUGGCCAUUCACCGCAGACAGGACAAGCCCAUCGCCAUAGCACAAAGAGUCUCCGCUUCCCCAGUGCACCAUGCCAAACACAAUUGCCAGUGUACCGAAGCCAGAUAAAGGACUAUGGCUGCAUUUACACAGGCAGCCCAAUUCUGAUAUUUUUUCACUAAUGGGUCUUUUGGUCAAUCAGAUCAGCUCUGAAAAAGAUCUGUUGUGAAAAAAAUAGCAGAAUUGGGCUGUGUGUGUAAACGCAGACAGUGUGAUUCAGCAUAAGAUCAUGUAGAACACACUGGAGGAUACUGAGGGGAGGAUGGCUCAUAAUAAUGGCCAGGACGGAGCAAAUGGAAUGGUAUCAAACACAUUGAAACUGUUUGAUGUAUUUGAUAUCGUUCCACUCUAGCCAUCACCACUAGCCCGUCAUCCUCAAUUAAGGUGUCCAACCCUGUUUCUGGAGAACUACCCUCCUGUAGGUUUAUGCUCCUACCCUAGUUGUAACUAACCUAGUUCCUUUUUUAAAACCAGCUAAUUAUUAGACUCGGGUGUGCUAGUUUAGGGUUGGAGUGAACCUACAGGAUGGUAGCUCUCCAGGAACAGGGUUGGAGAGCCCUAUAAUUUAGAACCACCAUCAAAUAAAUAUAGAUAUGUUCUAUUAGUCUUUCAAAUUUGUCUGCCCUUAUGAAUUCACAGACAUUUAUAUUAAAACUGUACAGGGCUCUGUAGCAUCAAACAGAUGCUAGACAUUCAGAUAUCCUCUGUAGACUCUACAGAUGGGACUUAUUCACCAUAGUAACCUCCUUAACCAAGCCUCAGAGCGUCAGGGACUGACUGGGCCAACCCAACAGCAGGUCCCUCACAAUGAGGGGUGGGCUUCAGCUUGGCACACAAUUCCAAAACCACAUGAGUGGGCUUGGGUUAUAUGGAGAUUAGCGUAAGUGCAUAAAUGUACUGGUUGUGCAUCCCACCUAAACUUAUCUUUAAUUACUGUAUUGGGCUGUAGUUCUGCUCUUGUUAAUGUAUUUUUUUAAAAUACUAUGCAUUUUUGGUGUCCUGUUGUGCAUAUAAAAUAUGCUAUAAAGCAAUUAUGCCAAAGCUGUGCAAAUAUUUGGAACUCAUUGUACAAGAUGAGAUGUUAUAUUUUACAUAAUUUAUUAAAAACAUGGAACUCAUUGUACAAGAUGAGAUGUUAUAUUUUACAUAAUUUAUUAAAAACAUUUUUUUUAAA